rnacentral:rRNA from 1 species
GACGAACGCUGGCGGCGUGCUUAACACAUGCAAGUCGAACGAAAAUACCAAGCUUGCUUGGUUGAUUAGUGGCGAACGGGUGAGUAACACGUGAGUAACCUGCCCCUUACUUUCCUGGAUAACUGCUCGAAAGGGUAGCUAAUACGGGAUAUUCUGACCAGCCUGCAUGGGUUGGUUUGGAAAGGUUGUUUUUCUGGUAAGGGAUGGGCUCGCGGCCUAUCAGCUUGUUGGUGGGGUGAUGGCCUACCAAGGCUUUGACGGGUAGCCGGCCUGAGAGGGUGGACGGUCACACUGGGACUGAGAUACGGCCCAGACUCCUACGGGAGGCAGCAGUGGGGAAUAUUGCACAAUGGGCGCAAGCCUGAUGCAGCGACGCCGCGUGAGGGAUGAAGGCCUUCGGGUUGUAAACCUCUUUCGUCAGGGAACAAGGCACUGUCUUUUUGGUGGUGUUGAGGGUACCUGGAUAAGAAGCGCCGGCUAACUACGUGCCAGCAGCCGCGGUAAUACGUAGGGCGCAAGCGUUGUCCGGAAUUAUUGGGCGUAAAGAGCUCGUAGGCGGCUGGUCGCGUCUGUCGUGAAAACUUCCGGCUCAACCGGGGGCUUGCGGUGGGUACGGGCCGGCUAGAGUGCGGUAGGGGUAACUGGAACUCCUGGUGUAGCGGUGGAAUGCGCAGAUAUCAGGAAGAACACCGAUGGCGAAGGCAGGUUACUGGGCCGUUACUGACGCUGAGGAGCGAAAGCGUGGGGAGCGAACAGG